AGUGCUGGGAUUAAAGGUGUGCGCCACCACUGCCCGGCUUCUCUUCCCUCUUCUAAUUAACUACUCAGCUAAUUGUCACAGGAUCACCAUAUACCAUCAAGUACACCCAGGCGGUGAGGAACAGUAACGGUCCAAAGCUCAAGAUUUUAAAUUUCCUAUGGCUGCUUCUUAAUAUGUUUAAAAAUUCUUCCAAGCUCCGGAAUCAACUUGAAUCCAUCUGGACAGCACUCAGACUCAAGCAGCCAGAGUCCCAAGCCAAGGAAGAUGGACAGCUCCAAGGCAGCGGACAACAGCCCACCAUCCCAGGAUGCCUGGCCACCUCAGAAGCCCCCUUUCCUACCCCCAAGAGUUAGCUGACACCCACGGAGUCAGCUGGAAGCAGUUUUGGGAGACAGCUCCCCCAUUCCUGUUCACCCACCUUUUUAUAAUAAGAAAAGAGUGUGGAAUGUUGGGAUUCCUGGCCACUCCUCCAGUUACAGGACCGCACAUGCGCAGUUCAGUAGCCAAGCAUGGGGGGGCCUUACAUCCUACGUAAUGUGCAGGGGAAUCCACAAGAGGCGGGACACAGACCCCUCCUCUCUUCUCCUCCCCGCCUUCUCUCUGCAGGCCUGGUCAGGCUCGCUUCUGUCCCUCUUCUCCUAAUAAAACUCUGCUUUGAUAGUGAGUUU